CGGCGUGCUUACACACUGACAAGUCGAACGAACCUUCGGGUUAGUGGCGGACGGGUGAGUAACGCAAUCUGCCCUCAGGAGGGGGACAACAGUUGGAAACGACUGCUAAUACCCCAUAUGCCGCGAGGUGAAAUGAAUUUCGCCUGAGGAUGAGCUCGCGUCUGAUUAGCUAGUUGGUGUAGUAAUGGCUCACCAAGGGCAUCGAUCAGUACCUGGUCUGAGAGGAUGAUCAGCCACACUGGGACUGAGACACGGCCCAGACUCCUACGGGAGGCAGACAGUGGGGAAUUUUCCGCAAUGGGCGAAAGCCUGACGGAGCAACGCCGCGUGAGGGAUGAAGGCCUCUGGGCUGUAAAACUCUUUUAUCAAGGAAGAAGAUCUGACGGUACUUGAUGAAUAAGCCACGGCUAAUUCCGUGCCAGCAGCCGCGGUAAUACGGGAGUGGCAAGCGUUAUCCGGAAUUAUUGGGCGUAAAGCGUCCGCAGGCGGCCUUCAAGUCUGCUGUUCACAAACGUGGAGCUUAACUCCAUCAUGGCAGUGGAAACUGUUGGGCAUUGAGUGUGGAAAGGGGCAGAGGGAAUUCCCGGGUGUAACGAGU
rnacentral:rRNA from 1 species